rnacentral:rRNA from 1 species
AUUGAACGCUGGCGGCAGGCCUAACACAUGCAAGUCGAGCGGAUGAAGGGAGCUUGCUCCUGGAUUCAGCGGCGGACGGGUGAGUAAUGCCUAGGAAUCUGCCUGGUAGUGGGGGAUAACGUCCGGAAACGGGCGCUAAUACCGCAUACGUCCUGAGGGAGAAAGUGGGGGAUAUUCGGACCUCACGCUAUCAGAUGAGCCUAGGUCGGAUUAGCUAGUUGGUGGGGUAAAGGCCUACCAAGGCGACGAUCCGUAACUGGUCUGAGAGGAUGAUCAGUCACACUGGAACUGAGACACGGUCCAGACUCCUACGGGAGGCAGCAGUGGGGAAUAUUGGACAAUGGGCGAAAGCCUGAUCCAGCCAUGCCGCGUGUGUGAAGAAGGUCUUCGGAUUGUAAAGAACUUUAAGUUGGGAGGAAGGGCAGUAAGUUAAUACCUUGCUGUUUUGACGUUACCAACAGAAUAAGCACCGGCUAACUUCGUG